rnacentral:rRNA from 1 species
CACCGGGGGAUUGCCUUAGUAACGGCGAGUGAAGCGGCAAAAGCUCAAAUUUGAAAUCUGGUACCUUCGGUGCCCGAGUUGUAAUUUGGAGAGGGCAACUUUGGGGCCGUUCCUUGUCUAUGUUCCUUGGAACAGGACGUCAUAGAGGGUGAGAAUCCCGUGUGGCGAGGAGUGCGGUUCUUUGUAAAGUGCCUUCGAAGAGUCGAGUUGUUUGGGAAUGCAGCUCUAAGUGGGUGGUAAAUUCCAUCUAAAGCUAAAUAUUGGCGAGAGACCGAUAGCGAACAAGUACAGUGAUGGAAAGAUGAAAAGAACUUUGAAAAGAGAGUGAAAAAGUACGUGAAAUUGUUGAAAGGGAAGGGCAUUUGAUCAGACAUGGUGUUUUGUGCCCUCUGCUCCUUGUGGGUAGGGGAAUCUCGCAUUUCACUGGGCCAGCAUCAGUUUUGGUGGCAGGAUAAAUCCAUAGGAAUGUAGCUUGCCUCGGUAAGUAUUAUAGCCUGUGGGAAUACUGCCAGCUGGGACUGAGGACUGCGACGUAAGUCAAGGAUGCUGGCAUAAUGGUUAUAUGCCGCCCGUCUUGAAC